AUUGAACGCUGGCGGCAUGCUUUACACAUGCAAGUCGAGCGGCAGCGCGGGGCAACCUGGCGGCGAGCGGCGAACGGGUGAGUAACACAUCGGAACGUAUCUUCAAGUGGGGGAUAACCUAUCGAAAGGUAGGCUAAUACCGCAUAAGCAAGGGAUUGGAAAGCGGGGGAUUCGCGAGGACCUCGCGCUUUUGGAGCGGCCGAUGUCGGAUUAGGUAGUUGGUGGGGUAAAGGCUCACCAAGCCUGCGAUCCGUAGCGGGUCUGAGAGGAUGAUCCGCCACACUGGGACUGAGACACGGCCCAGACUCCUACGGGAGGCAGCAGUGGGGAAUUUUGGACAAGUGGGGGCAACCCUGAUCCAGCCAUGCCGCGUGAGUGAAGAAGGCCUCGGUU
rnacentral:rRNA from 1 species